UCCCCGUUGGGUGGCAGCCAUGAGCACCCCAGCCGUGCCCCAGGACCUGCAGCUGCCCCCGAGCCAGAGGGCUCAGCCCGCAUUCAGAGAACAAAGAAGACAAAAACUCAAGGAACAUAUGUUAAAAAGAAAAACUUUUUUUGCAUACAAACAGGAAAAUCACAUACCCAGUAGAGACCAGAAAGUGAUGAACUCUGAGGGCCAAGUCCACGAAGAGACAAAAGUUCUGAAAUUUAAAACAAAAAUGGCUGGUAAAGAAAAUGUCAGUAGACCUCCUGGGAACAAAAAUCAUAUAACAAUCGGAAAAAAUUGUAUUCCUUUAAGACCUUCUAAUGAGUUAACCAGUUCAACAAUAGCAGUUGACACAUAAUUUUGAGGAUAAUAAUCAAAUGGGACAGUCUGUACCAAUUAAAGAUGACCCUCAAAGUCAACACAUGAUAUUAAGCCAAGUGUUUCAUCUUAUAAACAACAAUAAAGAGAAACAAAUAUCCAUAGAAAAACCAAAGCACGAUGCUAACAUGUCCAAGAAGCUUGUGCUUGGGUCUUACCGUGGCCAAAUUGUUCAGUCUAAGAUUAAUUCAUUUAGAAAGCCCCUACCAGUCAGAGAUGAGAGUUCUGCAACAACGAAGAAGCCUUCAGCUGCUGUCCCUAAAGACCCAGAGCCUCCACCCACAGACACUCGAAGUGCAACAGUGAGAAGUGAUAGAGCCCCAAACGUGGUGACCACCACUAAACUUGGGAGCACUGCAUCUCAGAACAGACAGCUGGUGCGGCCUCCUAUCAGAAGUCACCGCGACAGUGCUCAGGACACUGUGAAACGGGGCAUCAGGCGAGCCACUGCCAAUGUUACAAUCCGGAAAGGGCCUCGGGAGAAAGAAUUACUGCAAUCAAACAUGGUUUCAUCUAGUGCCAAAACCAGUUCUCAGGAUGUAGAGAGAAAGAAGACACUGUCAAGAAGCCUGACUUCUGAAACUGUAGCCAGGCCUGCUUCGUCUUCUAACACCAAACUGAUACAGAAAUCAAAAAGCAUUGACCCUCGCAGACACACUAUAGCAAAAGCAACUCUUGAUAGAUCGGCUCAGCCCAAAGAAACAGCAGAAGAGAGAAAAGCUCGUCUGAGUGAGUGGAAAGCUGGUAAGAGAAAAGUGCUGAAAAGGCCUCCUAGCUCAGUGGUUACCCAGCCUGAGCCUGAAGGGCAAAAUGAAAACUCAGUUGGGUCCUUUUGGACGACCAUGGUAGAAGAAGAUGAACAAAGAUUAUUUACUGAAAAAGUAAACAAGACAUUUUCGGAAUGCCUAAACCUGAUUAAUGAGGGGUGCCCAAAAGAAGAAAUAUUGGUCAUACUGAAUGACCUGCUUAAAAAUAUUCCAGAUGCCAAAAAACUUGUUAAAUAUUGGAUAUGCCUUGCACAUAUUGAACCGCUCUCAAGUCCUAUUGAAAAUAUUGUCACAAUCUAUGAGAAAGCUAUUUUGGCAGGGGCUUAGCCUAUUGAAGAGAUGCAACAUGCAACUGCAGAUAUUCUAACAAUGAAGAGUCAAGAAAAAGUGAAAUAUGGAGAAAAUAUUGAGGCUUGUGCAACUAAGGAAUACAUCCAAGAAGUCGACAGUGAAGAUAUAGGUGUUAAUCUAGAGUCAGGAAGACCAGAAAUGGAAAAGAAACCUAGAAAUGUGGUAUUUCAAGAUGGUGAAAAAGAGGAAGAUGACAAAACAAAAGAUCCAACCAAUGAUGUUAAAACCCCCAGUACAGAAACCAGGGGCAGUUGCUUAAUUAAAUAUAAUGUGUCUACUACACCAUACCUACAAAGUGUAAAAAAGAAGAUCCAGUUUGACAACACAGAUACUACAUUUAAAGAGCUAAAGUUUCUAACACCAGUUAGACAUUCUUGACAUAUUCAAGAGAAGACUUCUAAAUUGCCAGAUAUGUUAAAAGACCAUUAUCCAUGCGUGUCAUCACUGGAGCAGUUAACAGAGUUAGGAGGUGAAACUGAUGCUUUUGUAUGCCGUCCGAAUGCAGCACUAUGCCCCAUGUACUCAGAGGCUGGAACAGCACAGGACAAAUAAAGUGAUGAUAAGGAAUGGGGCUUCUGUUGUUCCUGGGGGCUUUUGUUUGCUUGUUGUAGCUUGGUAUGUCUCUUAGGAGUUGGCCAAGUACUUAAGUAUUCAUGGCAGUGAGCUCUUCUACUGAUGUUCACGUUAUAGCAGG